GCUUCUAUGACGUUAGCGGCGGACGGGUGAGUAACACGUGGGCAACCUGCCUGUAAGACUGGGAUAACUUCGGGAAACCGAAGCUAAUACCGGAUAGGAUCUUCUCCUUCAUGGGAGAUGAUUGAAAGAUGGUUUCGGCUAUCACUUACAGAUGGGCCCGCGGUGCAUUAGCUAGUUGGUGAGGUAACGGCUCACCAAGGCAACGAUGCAUAGCCGACCUGAGAGGGUGAUCGGCCACACUGGGACUGAGACACGGCCCAGACUCCUACGGGAGGCAGCAGUAGGGAAUCUUCCGCAAUGGACGAAAGUCUGACGGAGCAACGCCGCGUGAGUGAUGAAGGCUUUCGGGUCGUAAAACUCUGUUGUUAGGGAAGAACAAGUACAAGAGUAACUGCUUGUACCUUGACGGUACCUAACCAGAAAGCCACGGCUAACUACGUGCCAGCAGCCGCGGUAAUACGUAGGUGGCAAGCGUUAUCCGGAAUUAUUGGGCGUAAAGCGCGCGCAGGCGGUUUCUUAAGUCUGAUGUGAAAGCCCACGGCUCAACCGU
rnacentral:rRNA from 1 species